AUGGCGUCGUCUGUCUCUGACCCUCCACUCCUCCCCGUCGUCGUCGUCCUCCUCCUCCUCCUCCUCUCCGCCGCCCCAUUCCUCGCAUUCUCCUCGGAGCCUCUCAACGCCGAAGUGAUGGCGCUGGUGGCCAUCAAGCAGGGGCUGGUGGACUCGCGCGGCGUGCUGAGCAACUGGGACGAGGACUCCGUCGACCCCUGCAGCUGGGCCAUGAUCACCUGCUCCCCCCGCAACCUCGUCAUUGGCCUGGGAGCGCCCAGCCAGGGCUUGUCGGGGACGCUGUCCGGGCGGAUCGCCAACCUCACUAAUCUCGAGCAAGUGCUGCUGCAGAACAACAACAUCACGGGGCGGCUGCCGCCGGAGCUGGGCGCGCUGCCGAGGCUGCAGACGCUGGACCUCUCCAACAACCGCUUCUCCGGCCGCGCGCCCGACACGCUGGGCCGCCUGUCCAAGCUCCGGUACCUGAGGCUAAACAACAACAGCUUGUCGGGGCCGUUCCCCGCGUCGCUGGCCAGCAUCCCACAGCUCUCCUUCCUGGACUUGUCCUACAACAACCUCUCCGGCCCUGUUCCGCUCUUCCCCACAAGAAGCUUCAACAUCGUGGGCAAUCCGAUGAUCUGCGGCAGCCAUGGGGAGUGCGCCGCCGCGCUGGCGCCGGCCACCGGGCCCUUCCCGCUGGAAUCCACGUCCACCCCGAGCAGCAGGAGCAGGUCAAAGGCUGGCGCGGUGGGAGUGGGGGUAGGGACAGGCCUGGGCGCCUCCUCCCUGCUGCUUUUCGCCGUGUCCUGCCUCCUUUGGAGCCGCCGGCGCCGGCACCGCUGCCCCUCCCUCCUCGCAGAGCAAGGUGGUAGGGAUUUGGAGGGCGGCAUGGUGGCGGCGCGGCUAGGGAACGUGCGGCAGUUCGGGCUGCGGGAGUUGCACGCGGCCACGGACGGGUUCAGCGCGAAGAACAUCCUGGGCAGGGGCGGGUUCGGGGACGUGUACCGGGGCCGGCUCGCGGACGGCACGGCGGUGGCCGUGAAGCGGCUCAAGGACCCCAGCGGCGCGUCCGGGGAGGCGCAGUUCCGCACGGAGGUGGAGAUGAUCAGCCUCGCCGUGCACCGCCACCUGCUCCGCCUCCUCGGCUUCUGCGCCGCCGCCUCCGGCGAGCGCCUCCUCGUCUACCCCUUCAUGCCCAACGGCUCCGUCGCCGCCCGCCUCCGAGGGAAGCCGGCGCUGGGGUGGCAGACGCGGAAGCGGAUCGCGGUGGGGGCGGCGCGGGGGCUGCUGUACCUGCACGAGCAGUGCGACCCCAAGAUCAUCCACCGGGACGUCAAGGCCGCCAACGUGCUGCUGGACGAGCACCACGAGGCCGUCGUCGGCGACUUUGGACUCGCCAAGCUGCUCGACCACGGCGACUCGCACGUCACCACCGCCGUGCGCGGCACCGUCGGCCACAUCGCCCCCGAGUACCUCUCCACGGGCCAGUCCUCCGACAAGACGGACGUCUUCGGCUUCGGCGUCCUGUUGCUGGAGCUCGUCACCGGCCAGCGCGCGCUCGAGGUCGGCAAGGGCUCCGGCCUCAGCCUCUCCCACAAGGGCGUCAUGCUUGAAUGGGUGAGGAAGGUGCACCAGGAGAAGAUGCUGGAGUUGCUGGUCGACCAAGAGCUGGGCCCUCACUACGACAGGAUCGAGGUGGCCGAGAUGGUGCAGGUCGCCCUGCUCUGCACCCAGUUCCAGCCGUCUCACCGGCCGAGGAUGGCCGAGGUGGUGCGGAUGCUCGAAGGCGACGGCCUCGCCGACAAAUGGGAGGCCACCAACCGGCCGCCGCACGACGGCCUUGGCCACGACGGCCACCGCAGCGACCCCGACGGGUGGGGCUCCUUCAACGACUACCGUGACAACGGCGGCAGCAGCCUCGGCAGCGACGAGGCGCGGUCCAUCGACAUGGCGGAGGAGAUGGAGCUGUCUGGACCGAGGUAG
rnacentral:rRNA from 1 species